AGAGUUUGAUCCUGGCUCAGAACGAACGCUGGCGGCGUGCUUAACACAUGCAAGUCGAACGCGAACGAGUUCUUCGGAACUUUAGUAGAGUGGCGCACGGGUGAGUAACGCGUAAGUAAUCUACCCUCGCAUCUGGGAUAACCCACCGAAAGGUGUGCUAAUACCGGAUACGUCUAAGUUAAUAUCUUUUUUUUAGAGAAAGGUGGCCUCUGAUUCAAGCUACUGUGCGGGGAGGAGCUUGCGUACCAUUAGCUAGUUGGUAGGGUAACGGCCUACCAAGGCGACGAUGGUUAGCGGGUCUGAGAGGAUGAUCCGCCACACUGGAACUGAAACACGGACCAGACUCCUACGGGAGGCAGCAGUGAGGAAUAUUGCGCAAUGGGGGCAACCCUGACGCAGCGACGCCGCGUGGAUGAUGAAGGCCUUCGGGUUGUAAAAUCCUGUCAGAUGGGAAGAAGUGCUAUAUGGUUAAUAUCUGUAUAGUUUGACGGUACCAUCAAAGGAAGCACCGGCUAACUCCGUGCCAGCAGCCGCGGUAAUACGGAGGGUGCAAGCGUUGUUCGGAAUUACUGGGCGUAAAGCGCGCGUAGGCGGCUAUGUAAGUCAGAUGUGAAAGCCCGCGGCUCAACCGUGGAAGUGCAUUUGAAACUGUAUAGCUUGAGUACUGGAGGGGGUAGUGGAAUUCCCGGUGUAGAGGUGAAAUUCGUAGAUAUCGGGAGGAAUACCGGUGGCGAAGGCGACUACCUGGCCAGAUACUGACGCUGAGGUGCGAAAGCGUGGGGAGCAAACAGGAUUAGAUACCCUGGUAGUCCACGCCGUAAACGAUGUCAACUAGGUGUUGGAGUGGUUAAUCGCUUCAUUGCCGGAGUUACCGCAUUAAGUAUCCCGCCUGGGGAGUACGGUCGCAAG
rnacentral:rRNA from 1 species